CCUACGGGCGGCUGCAGUGGGGAAUAUUGCACAAUGGGCGCAAGCCUGAUGCAGCCAUGCCGCGUGUGUGAAGAAGGCCUUCGGGUUGUAAAGCACUUUCAGCGGGGAGGAAGGCGGUGAGGCUAAUAACCUCAUCGAUUGACGUUACCCGCAGAAGAAGCACCGGCUAACUCCGUGCCAGCAGCCGCGGUAAUACGGAGGGUGCAAGCGUUAAUCGGAAUUACUGGGCGUAAAGCGCACGCAGGCGGUCUGUCAAGUCGGAUGUGAAAUCCCCGGGCUCAACCUGGGAACUGCAUUCGAAACUGGCAGGCUAGAGUCUUGUAGAGGGGAGUAGAAUUCCAGGUGUAGCGGUGAAAUGCGUAGAGAUCUGGAGGAAUACCGGUGGCGAAGGCGGCCCCCUGGACAAAGACUGACGCUCAGGUGCGAAAGCGUGGGGAGCAAACAGGAUUAGAUACCCUAGUAGUC
rnacentral:rRNA from 1 species